rnacentral:lncRNA from 1 species
UCAGAUUGAGGAUUAUGAAUGGAUCAAAAGUCUUUUUAAUCUCCUAGAAGCUUUAAAUCCAAGGAUUUAAGUGAGUUUUCUUUAUAUUUAUUUUUGCUAUUUUCUCUUUUUUAUAUUUUUAAUUCACCUAAAAUUAAUAUCUAAUAGCAAUCUCUUUUCAAAAUUAAUUCAUAAGAAUUUUUGAAAAGAAAUUUAAAUAUUAUGAAGUGUAAUAGAAAUUAUAGAUUGUAGAUUGUGUAGUGUAGAAGUGUGN